GAUGACACCCCCGUGACAGAGUCCGACCUCAGUCGCGCACCCAUAAAAAUGAGUGCCCACAUGGCAAUGGUGGAUGCCCUGAUGAUGGCCUACACUGUGGAGAUGAUCAGCAUCGAGAAGGUGGUGGCCAGUGUCAAGCGCUUCUCAACGUUCAGUGCCUCGAAAGAACUUCCGUACGACCUCGAGGAUGCCAUGGUGUUCUGGAUCAACAAGGUAAAUCUUAAAAUGAGAGAGAUAACAGAGAAAGAAGUUAAAUUAAAACAACAGUUAUUGGAAAGUCCAGCUCAUCAAAAGGUAAAGGGUAAAUUUAAUUCUUCUGGAAUGCACUAAGUUAAUGUUGGUCCCAAUUUUAAAGAAUUCUGUUAGUUUCC
rnacentral:sRNA from 1 species